ensembl:lncRNA
AAUCAACUGGGAUCUGACAGGCAUGGUGCAGCAAGAUGAAGAGAAAGGGUCUAUUUUAAGCAAAGAAGGUAUUUCUGGAAAGCGGGAAAGAUAGGGGACCAGCACAUCCACCGUUACCAUAAACAGGAGAGGAUUUUACGUGGCGUUGGAGGAUGUCCACCAUAUAUACCAGAUUUGACCUAUACUUGUGUGCCACUUCUUCUCCGUCUUCUUCCCUCCACCUGUCGAGCCUCUCUACCCCAGCCACUUUCUCAUUGGUGAGGGUGAAUGCUUUAUUACCUUGUUUGCUGCAGUGCUGAUUGUUAUGAGCUGUUUAUUCACCUAUGGUGCAUCUGUUUUUUCUCAUAGAGUAUUUGUCAUGUUUGGUGUGCUUUUGACUUCUCAGUCCUUUAGCACAGCAAAUGCUGCCGCUUAUUGGACUGUUGUGAUGGAAUCAAUACAAUCAUCAUACGAACUGAACAAAAUACAAUUAUUUAAUGCAGUUUGAGGAUUAACUAGAUUAAGCAGAUUUUCCUGUUUGGAGAUACUAUAUACUUUAAAUGGAUCGCUGAUGAUAUUUAUAACCUCAUAAUAAAUAAAACGCAUCUGUAAAAGGAUUAUAUUCAAACACAUGGACAAUUCUAUUUGCUCUGCCUUCCAAUUUAGCUGAAAAUAGUAGCUUAAUUUGCAUAUAUUUACUUUUAAAUGUGUGUCAAGUCGAAAGGAAUAAGAAAAAAAUCUUUCCAGCUGAUUCAGAGUGUUAGCAGAGGCAAUGAUUAUUAUAUCACAAAAUAAAUUUGACUGCGUAUUUCUCUCCUGAUGUCUUGCUCUUUGCCUGACUUCUGAGCAGGAGCAUAUACCAGGAUUUGGUUUUCUAAUCAAAUGUUGUGGCUUCAGACCUUUCCAGUAGAGUUUCUAUGUAUAUCCCCAGAUUUCAGAACACAGCCUUCACUGACAAAUAGGUAUAAAUCUAGAUUUUUAUUUUAGACUACGAUAGGUUUAAAUCUGGAUUUUUAUUUUAGACUACGAUAGGUUUAAAUCUGGAUUUUUGCAAUUGUAUGUCUGCUCUAAGACACAAAGCUCUGGAUUUUGACCAUGUUGCUCUACUUUACCCUUCCAGUGGAAAGA